GACGAACGCUGGCGGCGUGCCUAAUACAUGCAAGUAGAACGCACAGUUUAUACCGUAGCUUGCUACACCAUAGACUGUGAGUUGCGAACGGGUGAGUAACGCGUAGGUAACCUGCCUGGUAGCGGUGGAUAACUAUUGGAAACGAUAGCUAAUACCGCAUAAUAUUAAUUAUUGCAUGAUAAUUAAUUGAAAGGUGCAAUUGCACCACUACCAGAUGGACCUGCGUUGUAUUAGCUAGUAGGUGAGGUAACGGCUCACCUAGGCGACGAUACAUAGCCGACCUGAGAGGGUGAUCGGCCACACUGGGACUGAGACACGGCCCAGACUCCUACGGGAGGCAGCAGUAGGGAAUCUUCGGCAAUGGACGAAAGUCUGACCGAGCAACGCCGCGUGAGUGAAGAAGGUUUUCGGAUCGUAAAGCUCUGUUGUAAGAGAAGAACGGGUGUGAGAGUGGAAAGUUCACACUGUGACGGUAUCUUACCAGAAAGGGACGGCUAACUACGUG
rnacentral:rRNA from 1 species